AGCAGCCGCGGUAAUUCCAGCUCCAAUAGCGUAUAUUAAAGUUGUUGCAGUUAAAAAGCUCGUAGUUGAAUUUCGGGAUUCAUCCGUUGGUCGGGCUUCACGGUCCGUACUGGUGUGAUGGGUUCCUACCUUCUGAAUAACCGGCAUGCCAUUAAUUUGGUGCGCCGGGGAAGCAGAACUAUUACCUUGAAAAAAUUAGAGUGCUUAAAGCAGGCAAGUGCCUGAAUAGGUUAGCAUGGAAUAAUAAAAUAGGACGGCAUGGUUCUAUUUUGUUGGUUUCUAGGAUCACCGUAAUGAUUAAUAGGGAUAGUUGGGGGCAUUAGUAUUCAAUUGUCAGAGGUGAAAUUCUUGGAUUUAUUGAAGACUAACUUCUGCGAAAGCAUUUGCCAAGGAUGUUUUCAUUAAUCAA
rnacentral:rRNA from 1 species